GCAUGACCUGGAGCCGCAGUUGGCAACGGGAGUGGCUUUAGCCCCCCGACCACCCUAACAUCUUGCACUGUCUGGGGGCUCCCCGGGCUCAGCAACACCCACCUCUGUGGCUGGGAGCUGGGCUCAGCCACAUCCCUGCAACUUCUCCGGGACACCGCCAUCCAGCUACGCCAAGGCCUGACGGCGGCUCCAUGUUUCCUGCCAAUGGCGGUGCUAUUAACUUAUACAGAAAGCUCACAUUUGCCAUCACUCCCCUUUACGAAUCGCUUCACCCUCUGACCAGAUCCCCUCACAGUCACUUUCUAGAACUCAUUCUGGUGCCAGCUAUCUUUAUGGACAGAAAACUACAUUUUGAAAUCAAAUCAAGUGUGUUCUAUUUUCCAUCGAAAUAAAUCUGGAGCACUUUC